rnacentral:lncRNA from 1 species
GUGUUUGUAGGACCGUAGUCAGACCUUCCUAGCCCCCUUCUCAUCUCUUUCUGUGGUUAGUGCUCUGAUGUCCCGAUAUAGAUAAUCUUGAAGUAAUUCUUGAUUCUUAGAUCAACUAGAGAACUCUCAGGAAACUUCCUCUCUUCCCACCAAAAAUAAUUAUAUAGUUAUCCUUGGGCGAUCUUGGAUCUUAAUUAGUACACUCACGUUCUCUGUGGAAAAUCGAUACUCUGGAAUACUCCCGGGUGAAGGCUACAUCGGUAUCCGUGCGCUUGCGGAUUUUUCUGUUUGCGUUUAAAAUACCCAACAAGCUUUCUGGCGCCGUUGCCGGGGAACGGUAGCUGUGCUAGUUUCGAACCAAGUCGUCCGUGUAUCCUUUUUUCUUUUCCUUUUUUACCACACUCACCUUAUCAUUUUCACCACACCACAUGGAUUUUACUCUAAGCAUUAAUGAGCAUGGAAUUUAUUUCAUAGCCACUUCAUUUACUCCAUGCUCAUAUGCAACAUCUUACGAAUCCAUUGGUUUUCCAACAUCACCAUAUUCGAGAUCUCCAACCCCCUCAUCCUGUCUAUUUACAAAAACUUUAAAAGGGCGGUUGUCGAUGCAUAUGUCUAUAAUAAAUUUUGCAGAUUUCGUUGAGUUGAUCUUGAUAUAGGUUGGUGUUGGAGGGGAAACCACUUCAGCAACAUAAAUUGAUGGUUUCCCAAGGACAAGCUUAGUGUCCUAAAACAAGCACUGAUCAGAUCGUAACAUGAGCUUUUAAUUAUUUGCAACACUACCUUGUGUAUUGAGCAUAUAAGGAUAAUUGUAAAAAUAUUCCUUCGGGUAUUCUUGUCACUAACCUUUCCAGGAUUGGAGCAAGAAGAUCAGAUGAAUGACAAGCACAAGGUAUGUACAACCAAUCAUCAUACAACAUUGAAUUAAAUUCAUCCAAACUUGAAUUUUGCAAAAUUCAAGCUUGGGGGAGUACUUUAUAUAAAAACAUCAUUUGCCAUGUUGCUAUGUUGGUUGUCCCUACCUUUGAGACAUGCUCAAUUUGUUAAAUAGUAAUCACACUACUUCAUCUCCACUUGAGUAGAUCUCUAUAAAAGCCAUCACGCUACCUUUGUUUAUCCAAGUAAGUGUUAGUUUGGAAGUACUGUACAUACUUCUAUUGGUUUUUAAAUUAUGCAUGGUGCUUAGGUUAAACAGCCUUCCUUAAUCUAAUUAGACAUGGAGUCUAGUUUGGUUAUUGAACUAAAAACUGCUUGUGUAGACAUUGGUAUAUUUUGUUGGACUAACCCCUGCAGGAAAACUUUCAAUAUCGACCUGGGAAGUCCUGUGAUAAACUCACAUUGGAGACAAAGAGAGACACACAUAAAGUUUAACAAUUUACACAAGGAAGGCGUAGCUCACAAGAGAUGAUCCAUGGAGGGUGCCACAAACACGAUGCACAACCGCUAAGAGAGGAAAGCUUCCACAAGGUGAUACUAUACCAUCACUCUUCAAGUAAGGUAACAUCUUAAGGUACUUGACUAUCACUUCUAUAAGCUUCUCCUUGGUUCUGGCGUUCACAUGAAUAAAAGAGACAAACAUGUAUGAUUUGCAACUCUAGAUUAACCAACCAAAUCGAUUCAACAUGUUUAAUCCUUCCACCUUUGUGAUCCCACACUCCUAAUCAUAUGAACUAAAAUGUUGCACAUUCAAUCUCUGGAAGAUAUAAACAAAACAUAAGUAUAGAUAGAUUAUCUUUCCAUUAGGUUGAGUGAUCUGAUCUGACGAAUGUUUUAAAUGCUACACUCAUGAUCUUAUUAUCCAUCAACUGUGUCUUGCUCACUAUGCUUAAGGAUAGAGAAGAGCAAAUACACUUUUGGUUCUGUUGGUGUUUUCCACCAACAGGGCCCAUGCACUUGAUCUCUGCCUUGUCUCUACGAGCAGGUACACUUCGAGCAAAAUAUGAAGGACUUUUAUAACUCCCAGACUCCACCAAGUGAAGAACUUAGAUCUACGAGCACAAACACACUGGAGAGACUGGACACUCAGGCAAUCACUGCCCUGAGAUGCUUGAGGACGUAACUACUAGAGUAACCCCGUUGUGGAAGUAAUUACUGACCUUCUGCCGGUCAAGAGAGACAAUCCAGGACGCCCCGUCAUCCCGAUCUCCAUCGGCAUGGUGGACUUCCUAGAAGCACUCUACAACUUUGGCUCGAGCGUCAACAUUAUGCCUAGGGGAAUAUUGAAGAACCUCUACGUCCGAGGAGGCCAUUCCUGAACACCUCGGGAGCUAUCAUCUACGCUAGUGCUGCCAAGAUCAGUUUCUACAUCAAGGGAAGGAAGGAGAUGUUUUCCUUCAAGAACAAGACUAUACAAAUCUCAGAGCAAUCCCGACAUGAACCAAGGAAGAGGACCAACAGGAGGAAUAGGAACAAGCAAAUGUGUAUCGAGUCAGCUAAGAUGGUCACUGCAGUUCAAGGAGGACAAGAUCAUCUAUUUAAGUCACCGUUCCUAACCAAAAAGGACGACCCAGGCAUGCCAAGCAUCCAGUGCUCCAUUAAUGGAUACAACAUCCAGAAGAUGCUUUGUGACACCGGGUCAGGCGUCAACAUAAUGGCCGCAGUCACCUAUCAACUCCUGUUCGGAACCAUGCCACUAAAACCGUCAUACAUUUAGCUCCAGAUGAUUUUAAGGUUAUUGACAUGGGAGAAGACGAGUAUGAUCCACCCAUCAUCCUUGGAAGACCGUUCCUCAGCACUGUUAAAGCAAUCAUCUACAUUGAAACUAGAGAAGUCCACAUGCACUUCACCUCUGAGAAGGUAUGCCGCUGUUUUACUGACCCUAACUAUAUAGUUGAAGACUCUAAGCAGGUCAGGACAAGAAGAAGACGACGCAACCGCAACCAGAGGAGGCAAAUCAUCAAGGACGGAUGGGCAGACUAUGAAGGAGAAGUUGUAAGGUCUGAAGACAUACAGCUUGAACAGAACUGUCCUGAGGAGACCGUAGCACCGAGUCAGGUGUGUAGAGAGAAGAUAGUUAUACAUGAAGAGCAGGCGCUGCCGGAACCACCGACUACGCCAUCCAGUGAAUCCCAGGAUGACUGUGAAAACAGAGAGUCCCGUUCGGAGGACUUAAAAACACUGAAUGCCUUGCCAAGAGGUAAACUUGGUAGUUAUCUUUUGCUUUUCAAUUAUUUAAAAUAGUUUGCUUAGUUAAUCAGGUUCAUAUCAUCUUAAAAAGAAAAUAAAAAUGUUAAAAAUAGUAAGCCCCAUGUGAGUAUGCUCAUGGCAUAAAACCCAUAAGUACAUUCACUGUGGUGGCAUAAAAAUAAAAUAAAUAUAUCCUUGUCCUAUAAAAAUAAAAUUAUAAAAAUAAAUUUAUGAUCCUACUAAACAGAGUAAUAUUUAUUGAGGAGGCUCAACAUGAUAAAGGCUAGAUAUUUAUGCUAACACUUAACUAGUUCCACAAAGCUUUGUUGUCUAUUUGAGCUCCACAGAAUUCAAGGAUCAAAGAAGACUAGCAGACGGAGGACAUCCUAAUCGCUGUCAGGGUGCUGUUGACAUUCAAAUACACCUCCACCACUUGCUAGCUACAACAGAAGAAAUUACGUCAAAAUCCAGCUUGGGGAAGAGCACCCCCAUUUAUCCAGCUAAGUAUUCUACUCAUGUUUAUACUUUACUCUAAUAAUAAAAAGAUGCAUAAUCAUAUAAACCCAAAUAAAGAUUUUGUGCUUAUAUAUAUCUUUGCUUAGUUUGCUAAAUAAAUAAAUAAAUAAAGUUUGCUAUGAACCCUCAUGAUAAGCUCUCACAUGGAAAUGAUGAAUAGUUGCUCUGCCAUGACUAGUUCUCAAAAUUGAAAUCUCUCUCAAGUUUAGGCCUAACUGUUAUUAAUUAAGAUUUGUUCUAAACCUAAACUUGUGGGAAGAGUACUUGAUCUGAAGUCUAAGUCGUUAACGGAUAUGAUAUGGGAAGGUUGAGCUGCUGUUAUCUAUUCCUAGAGAUGCUAGAAUUCUGGAGAAUUUUAUCUUUGAAAAUCUUUAAAAUGUUGCAUGAUGAGUUCCUGUAUGAUGAGAGUUUUAAUUCCUACAACAGCCAUAUAUACAUGCUUGUUAGACUAUGAACCACACAUUUACUUUUACUGCUUAUGAGCAUUGAGUGUGGUCAAGCUGUGUAGACCCUUAGGAGCUUGUCAUGUGGUUAAAUCAAGAUUCACUUGCACGUUCAAUCACAUAUGCUGCUUCUACUCCGGAAGUACGCAUCCACAUAUAUCCAUCCAUUUCCAUCUCCAGAACCACCCAAAAAUAUUCUACUCCUAAUCCGGGAGAGAAUAGCCAAAAACAUUUCUGUUUUCCCCUUUUGAAAUAAAUGCUCAAGUUAUCUUGGUUACUACCACUUGCUAUAUUAUUUCAGGAGAUGAGUGCUCUAAAAAAAAGAAGAAGAAAAAAAAGAGAGAAAAAAAUAAUAAAAUAAUAAUAAAUACGAGGAAAUAAAAAGGGGUAAGUGCCCGGAACCUCGAAAGAAAAGAAAAAGUGAGACGAGAGGUAAAAAUGGACAAGUGUCCGACAGUAGAAUUAGGGGUACAAGAUACCCACGUGAGAGAAAAAGAAAAUAUAGAGCAUCUCAUUUUCCUCAAAAAGUUUCAAAAGAGCAAGAAAGGUAUGUACCCCCUCAAAAGAGCAAAAGUAGAAUUAGACUUUCACCAUUGUUAUCACCAUCAUUACCAUACACCAUUUAUUCGCCACACAUGCACAUCUUGAUUUGACUUAUUGACUUGUUCUUCUGGAUCCAUGGUUUGACUAUGCAAUAAAUGUCUUGUAAGUAUGUAUUAGCUGUCUCCCACCUAUGAGCUCCAGAUAUCAAAACCUUAUUAGAGUAGGGUGAGAGAGAAGGCAAUGUCACUAUACCAAAAAUACCACAUACUUUGAGAGAAGGCAUAUACCAUUACUGCCUUGGUAAGGAUCCAGAAAUACCACAAAAGAGAGACUAGAGAGAGUCAUACAAGGAAUCUCUGAGUUUUAUUUGAAAAUCUGCAAAAACUCCAGAGCUAUAGUUAAUCGAAGAAUAAGAGACAUGGCGCUUGACUAGACCGUUCUAUCUUUUAACUACUCAAGACAGAAGUGACGGUUGCAAGCCCCAUGGUGAAAGGUAAAUGAGUAAGUUUUAAGUCUUAACAGUUUACUCUAACCAGAGAUGAGAUCUAGUUUAAACGCAUGUGUAUCUUUAAGUUAUGAAACCACUGCAGAAACUCUUGAGUUCAUCUUUGCUCAGGGACGAGCAAAGGUUAAGCUUGGGGGAGCUUGUUGACGGUCCUUAAUGCUCAUAUUUAACCAUCAAUUAAUCAUAGAAAAGGAUCCAAAUGCAACUAACACCUAGACUUAGGGUUUUAUCUGACAGAAUUCCACGAGUUUUGGUGUUUGUCUAUUUCUGCAGGGGGUUAUCAGGAAAUAUGGAGGAAAGGCCCACACGUCGGGUUUACAUAGAGAUAUUAACGUGCCGCGCAAUUUUCUAUCAUCUAGAAGACUCCAGAAGCCACGGGACCGAAGCGGAAGCCGAGGGGCCUCAGGGACAGGGCGCCCGCCCUAGUCCUGAGGGCGCCCGCCCUCCCCCUGGACCAAUCAGGGUGAAGUUCGGGGAUCAUGCUCCACCGACCUAAUACUUCAAGGAAAACCACACGAUCAAUGUCGGUUUGAUCCGACGGCCCAGAUUCACUUGAAGGGACUAUAAAACCAGACCCCCCUGGCCCCUGGAGAUCAUACCUCUUCUACAGAAUCAAAGCUAGGGUUUCAAUUCUUCAUCCAAGUAGAGAGGAUCCCUCUAGUUCUUCUAGUUCUAGUUCCUCUAGUUCUAGUUCUAGUUAGUUCUAGUUGUAAUCUAGAAAAUAGCGAGAGAGAAGAGGAGAGCGGAGGAGGAGCCGGAUCUGUCGGAUCUUCCUCAACAUUAUACUUUUGCAGCAUCAGGUUCGUUCUUCAUCGUUCUCCAGGUUCUUCAAUUAAUAACUCCUGAGUUCUCUAAUUACUUUUAUUUACAUUCAAGUUAUUUAUUGGAUUCCCGCUUGCAUCAAGUGCUCUAGUCUUUAUAACGCUAGAGUAGUAAUUAAUAGAUUAGACGUGGUGUUUAGUCUUGCGAUUACCUGGAAUUGCACCCAAUCCUACGGAUUGUUGUGGUAGCCCUAGGGUAGUGACAGCCCUAACGGUCGACUUAUUCCACCAAGUUCGGAUCGGUGUUUGUAGGACCGUAGUCAGACCUUCCUAGCCCCCUUCUCAUCUCUUUCUGUGGUUAGUGCUCUAAUGUCCCGAUAUAGAUAAUCUUGAAGUAAUUCUUGAUUCUUAGAUCAACUAGAGAACUCUCAGGAAACUUCCUCUCUUCCCACCAAAAAUAAUUACAUAGUUAUCCUUGGGCGAUCUUGGAUCUUAAUUAGUACACUCACGUUCUCUGUGGAAAAUCGAUACUCUGGAAUACUCCCGGGUGAAGGCUACAUCGGUAUCCGU